ensembl:lncRNA
GCUGCAGAAUAGCUCACAGACCCAUGGGCACGCAGCCUUGUUCAUCUUAGUAAAUAGAUUCAUAGUGUAGUUCUGGAGACGAGUAUGUAGGCCCCCGGCAGACAGAGCAGCCCCUUAAAAGGUCCAGUGUCAGGGUUUUCAUGUCUUGGCCACCAGACCCUACAAGAUACACUGAAGAGGCUUUCAGAAGAGCGCUUCCUCCCCUGGAGAUGAGGUUAGCAGCCUGGCCUGGCACGGGCCAUCCCUAUGCCAAGGCCAGGCUGGUCCCAUGCUGUCGGGUUGUGGGGCACCCAUGGAGUCGAGCAGAGGGGACCCCAGGGCUCGGGCGCGGCUCCGUGGUUAGGAGGAUAUGGAAGUGUGCUAAGACCCAGCCUUGGGCCUCGCCCGGUGCACCAGGUUCAAGCCAGCAAGAGAACUCAGAAGCAGGUUCUACCCCCAUUAAGCCUUGCGGUGACCAUGCCCCAGUGACACCUUGAUCACAGCCUAUGAGACCAGAAACCAGAUGCAUCCAGCUGAGCGAAACCCAGCUUCCCAACCCACAGAAUCUGUGAGGUGAUGAAGCUGUUUGAAGACACAAAAUUGUUACUAAUACAGUUGGCCUCUCCCUCACCAUUAGCUGUGCUCCUCAACUAGCUGCUUCUCCUCCCCCUCGACCUGAGGGUGGAAAACCCCAAACCCCACCUUCUCCUAAGGAGCCUUAUGUUAUCCGGCUCCACAGACUC